rnacentral:rRNA from 1 species
CAGCAGCCGCGGGAAUACGGAGGGUGCAAGCGUUAAUCGGAAUUACUGGGCGUAAAGCGCACGCAGGCGGUCUGACAAGUCAGAUGUGAAAUCCCCGGGCUUAACCUGGGAACUGCAUUUGAAACUGUCAGGCUGGAGUCUUGUAGAGGGGGGUGGAAUUCCAGGUGUAGCGGUGAAAUGCGUAGAGAUCUGGAGGAAUACCGGUGGCGAAGGCGGCCCCCUGGACAAAGACUGACGCUCAGGUGCGAAAGCGUGGGGAGCAAACAGGAUUAGAGACCCGCGUAGUCCCUGUCUCUUAUAC